rnacentral:rRNA from 1 species
CUAUACAUGCAAGUCGAGCGGACAGAUGGGAGCUUGCUCCCUGAUGUUAGCGGCGGACGGGUGAGUAACACGUGGGUAACCUGCCUGUAAGACUGGGAUAACUCCGGGAAACCGGGGCUAAUACCGGAUGGUUGUUUGAACCGCAUGGUUCAAACAUAAAAGGUGGCUUCGGCUACCACUUACAGAUGGACCCGCGGCGCAUUAGCUAGUUGGUGAGGUAACGGCUCACCAAGGCAACGAUGCGUAGCCGACCUGAGAGGGUGAUCGGCCACACUGGGACUGAGACACGGCCCAGACUCCUACGGGAGGCAGCAGUAGGGAAUCUUCCGCAAUGGACGAAAGUCUGACGGAGCAACGCCGCGUGAGUGAUGAAGGUUUUCGGAUCGUAAAGCUCUGUUGUUAGGGAAGAACAAGUACCGUUCGAAUAGGGCGGUACCUUGACGGUACCUAACCAGAAAGCCACGGCUAACUACGUGCCAGCAGCCGCGGUAAUACGUAGGUGGCAAGCGUUGUCCGGAAUUAUUGGGCGUAAAGGGCUCGCAGGCGGUUUCUUAAGUCUGAUGUGAAAGCCCCCGGCUCAACCGGGGAGGGUCAUUGGAAACUGGGGAACUUGAGUGCAGAAGAGGAGAGUGGAAUUCCACGUGUAGCGGUGAAAUGCGUAGAGAUGUGGAGGAACACCAGUGGCGAAGGCGACUCUCUGGUCUGUAACUGACGCUGAGGAGCGAAAGCGUGGGGAGCGAACAGGAUUAGAUACCCUGGUAGUCCACGCCGUAAACGAUGAGUGCUAAGUGUUAGGGGGUUUCCGCCCCUUAGUGCUGCAGCUAACGCAUUAAGCACUCCGCCUGGGGAGUACGGUCGCAAGACAUGAAACUCAAAGGAAUUGACGGGGGCCCGCACAAGCGGUGGGAGCAUGUGGUUUAAUUCGAAGCAACGGCGAAGAACCUUACCAGGUCUUGACAUCCUCUGACAAUCCUAGAGAUAGGAC